UACGGGGGGGGCAAGCGUUGUUCGGAAUUACUGGGCGUAAAGGGCUCGUAGGCGGCCAACUAAGUCGGAUGUGAAAUCCCCAGGCUUAACCGGGGAACUGCGUCUGAUACUGGAUGGCUUGAGGUUGGGAGAGGGAUGCGGAAUUCCAGGUGUAGCGGUGAAAUGCGUAGAUAUCGGAAGGAACAUCAGUGGCGAAAGCGGCUUCCUGGACCAGUACCGACGUUCAGGCACGAAAGCGUGGGGAGCAAACAGG
rnacentral:rRNA from 1 species